ensembl:snoRNA
UGACAAUUUCUCCGGAAUCUCUGCAUCUCUGUGAUGAUUCCUUUGAACCCCAUAUUCUGAUGACUGUUCAGUUUAGAC